GGCAAAUCCGGAAAAUCAAGGCUGAGGCGUGAUGACGAGGCACUACGGUGCUGAAGCAACAAAUGCCCUGCUUCCAGGAAAAGCCUCUAAGCAUCAGGUAACAUCAAAUCGUACCCCAAACCGACACAGGUGGUCAGGUAGAGAAUACCAAGGCGCUUGAGAGAACUCGGGUGAAGGAACUAGGCAAAAUGGUGCCGUAACUUCGGGAGAAGGCACGCUGAUAUGUAGGUGAAGUCCCUCGCGGAUGGAGCUGAAAUCAGUCGAAGAUACCAGCUGGCUGCAACUGUUUAUUAAAAACACAGCACUGUGCAAACACGAAAGUGGACGUAUACGGUGUGACGCCUGCCCGGUGCCGGAAGGUUAAUUGAUGGGGUUAGCGCAAGCGAAGCUCUUGAUCGAAGCCCCGGUAAACGGCGGCCGUAACUAUAACGGUCCUAAGGUAGCGAAAUUCCUUGUCGGGUAAGUUCCGACCUGCACGAAUGGCGUAAUGAUGGCCAGGCUGUCUCCACCCGAGACUCAGUGAAAUUGAACUCGCUGUGAAGAUGCAGUGUACCCGCGGCAAGACGGAAAGACCCCGUGAACCUUUACUAUAGCUUGACACUGAACAUUGAGCCUUGAUGUGUAGGAUAGGUGGGAGGCUUUGAAGUGUGGACGCCAGUCUGCAUGGAGCCGACCUUGAAAUACCACCCUUUAAUGUUUGAUGUUCUAACGUUGACCCGUAAUCCGGGUUGCGGACAGUGUCUGGUGGGUAGUUUGACUGGGGCGGUCUCCUCCUAAAGAGUAACGGAGGAGCACGAAGGUUGGCUAAUCCUGGUCGGACAUCAGGAGGUUAGUGCAAUGGCAUAAGCCAGCUUGACUGCGAGCGUGACGGCGCGAGCAGGUGCGAAAGCAGGUCAUAGUGAUCCGGUGGUUCUGAAUGGAAGGGCCAUCGCUCAACGGAUAAAAGGUACUCCGGGGAUAACAGGCUGAUACCGCCCAAGAGUUCAUAUCGACGGCGGUGUUUGGCACCUCGAUGUCGGCUCAUCACAUCCUGGGGCUGAAGUAGGUCCCAAGGGUAUGGCUGUUCGCCAUUUAAAGUGGUACGCGAGCUGGGUUUAGAACGUCGUGAGACAGUUCGGUCCCUAUCUGCCGUGGGCGCUGGAGAACUGAGGGGGGCUGCUCCUAGUACGAGAGGACCGGAGUGGACGCAUCACUGGUGUUCGGGUUGUCAUGCCAAUGGCACUGCCCGGUAGCUAAAUGCGGAAGAGAUAAGUGCUGAAAGCAUCUAAGCACGAAACUUGCCCCGAGAUGAGUUCUCCCUGACUCCUUGAGAGUCCUGAAGGAACGUUGAAGACGACGACGUUGAUAGGCCGGGUGUGUAAGCGCAGCGAUGCGUUGAGCUAACCGGUACUAAUGAACCGUGAGGCUUAACCUUACAACGCCGAAGAUGUUUUG
rnacentral:rRNA from 1 species